rnacentral:rRNA from 1 species
UACGGAGGGGGCUAGCGUUGUUCGGAAUUACUGGGCGUAAAGCGCACGUAGGCGGCUUGGUAAGUUAGAGGUGAAAGCCUGGAGCUCAACUCCAGAAUUGCCUUUAAGACUGCCGAGCUAGCAGGUGAGAGAGGUGAGUGGAAUUCCGAGUGUAGAGGUGAAAUUCGUAGAUAUUCGCAAGAACACCAGUGGCGAAGGCGGCUCACUGGCCCGAUACUGACGCUGAGGUGCGAAAGCGUGGGGAGCAAACAGG